ensembl:snRNA U2 U2 spliceosomal RNA
GCUCGUUCUCGGUUUUUUGGCUAAGACGAAGUGUAUUUGUUCUUAUCAGUUUAAUAUCUGAUACGUCCUCUAUCCGCAGACAUUAAAUGGAUAUUUGGAGCAGGGAGUCGGAGGGGGAGGGGGAAUAAAAUUUAAAAAAACAGCACGCUCAUCCUUAACAUAGUCUCCAAUUAUAACUUCUUUGGAAAUGUUUAGGCGUAUAGUUUACGUUAA